rnacentral:rRNA from 1 species
UGAGUCCGAGGUGAUACGUCACCGAAGUGGUAGCAGUCAAGCUUCCAAGAAAAGCUCCAAGCACGUUAAGUCAAUGUUACCUGUACCCGAAACCGACACAGGUAGGGAGGUUGAGAAUACCAAGGGGCGCGAGAUAACUCUCUCUAAGGAACUCGGCAAAAUGGCCCCGUAACUUCGGAAGAAGGGGUGCCCACCUAAGACGUGGGUCGCAGUGAAGAGAUCCAGGCGGCUGUUUACCAAAAACACAGGUCUCCGCCAAGUCAAACGACGACGUAUGGGGGCUGACGCCUGCCCAGUGCCGGAAGGUUAAGGAAGUCGGUCAGGACGCAAGUCUAAAGCUGGCGACUGAAGCCCCGGUGAACGGCGGCCGUAACUAUAACGGUCCUAAGGUAGCGAAAUUCCUUGUCGGGUAAGUUCCGACCCGCACGAAAGGCGUAACGAUCUGGAUGGUGUCUCAGAGAGAGACUCGGCGAAAUAGGAAUGUCUGUGAAGAUACGGACUGCCUGCACCUGGACAGAAAGACCCUAUGAAGCUUUACUGUAGCCUGUAAUUGAAUCCGGGCUGAGCUUGCGCAGGAUAGGUGGGAGGCAUUGAAGUUGCCCUUGUGGGGGUAAUGGAGCCAACGGUGAGAUACCACUCUGGCGCAGCUAGGAUUCUAACUUGGAGCCGUUAGCCGGCACAAGAACCGUUGCAGGUGGGCAGUUUGACUGGGGCGGUCGCCUCCUAAAUGGUAACGGAGGCGCGCAAAGGUUCCCUCAGCACGCUUGGAAACCGUGCAUAGAGUGUAAAGGCAUAAAGGGAGCUUGACUGCAAGAGUCACAACUCAAGCAGGGACGAAAGUCGGCCUUAGUGAUCCGACGGCACUGAGUGGAAGGGCCGUCGCUCAACGGAUAAAAGUUACUCUAGGAUAACAGGCUGAUCUCCCCCAAGAGUUCACAUCGACGGGGAGGUUUGGCACCUCGAUGUCGGCUCAUCGCAACCUGGGGUGGAAGUACGUCCCAAGGGUUGGGCUGUUCGCCCACUAAAGCGGUACGUGAGCUGGGUUCAGAACGUCGUGAGACAGUUCGGUCCAUAUCCGGUGCAGGCGUAAGAGCAUUGAGAGGAGCCCUCCUUAGUACGAGAGGACCGGGAGGGACGCACCGCUGGUGUGCCAGUUAUCGUGCCAACGGUAAACGCUGGGUAGCCAAGUGCGGCGCGGAUAACCGCUGAAAGCAUCUAAGUGGGAAGCCCACCUCAAGAUGAGUGCUCUCAUGGAAUAAUCCAGUAAGGUCACAGGAAGAUUACCUGUUAAUAGGCACCAGGUGGAAGUCCAGCAAUGGAUGUAGCCGAAGUGUACUAAUAGACCGAGGGCUUGAC